rnacentral:misc_RNA from 1 species
AACGCACAUUGCACCUUUUGGUAUUCCGAAAGGUAUGCUUGUUCGAGCGUCGUUUAAACUAUAUCAAUUUAAUUAUUGAAUGUAUUGAGUGACUUUUCUCUUUUAUUAUUAUCAGAGACACUCCAAAAUGAUUGAGCGAUCUUGAUUAGACUUGUUUAACGCAUUAAAAUAACUAUCGUUAGAAGAGAAAAUCAAUGAGCUGCCAAAUUAAACUAACUAGUACUGUUAAUCAGAGUCAAAUCUGAUUAAUAAUAUUAUUAACUUUUUUAAAUAUCGACCUCGGAUCAAGUGGGAUUACCCGCUGAACUUAA